rnacentral:tmRNA from 1 species
GGGGGCGACAGGCUUCGACAGGGGUAUGUAUAGAUCUUUGGAUGCACGUCGGGCUUGCUUGUUAGCUCGUUAAAACACCAAGCAAAACACAAUUGCCAAUAAUCAAAUGGCACUCGCUGCCUAAUUAAACCUAGCUCCAGCGAUGUCUUGCGACAAGCCAGCUUGAAGCGCGUCGUAAAGGCAUAACAAAUUUUAAGCUAGCGCAUCUUCUCCGUCUGCGAAGAUGCGCGAAAUGUUAGUCAGACUAGCUUUUGAUAAGGUCUUGUCGGUUCACUUACUUAUCAAACGCAAAACCCGAAGUGAA